GACGUAGGGGCCGAGCGUUGUCCGGAGUUACUGGGCGUAAAGCGCGCGCAGGCGGACGCGCACAUCCGCGGUGAAAGCCCCCCGCUCAACGGGGGAGGGUCCGCGGAGAUGGCGGGUCUGGAGGCAGGGAGAGGCCAGUGGAAUUCCGGGUGUAGUGGUGAAAUGCGUAGAGAUCCGGAGGAACACCGGUGGCGAAGGCGGCUGGCUGGACCUGUCCUGACGCUGAGGCGCGAAGGCGUGGGGAGCGAACGGG
rnacentral:rRNA from 1 species